UUAUGAACAACUCUCUUAAUUUUGUUGACUUGUUGACUGAAGGUACUCAUUGCUUUGAAGAAAGGAACGCAACUAAUCAAGUAUAGCUGGAAAGGGAAGCGCAAGUUUUUCACAUUUAGACUUUCUCGACAUCAGUAAGACUAUUUACUUACUACAAAAUGGCAAAGGAUAGGAGUUGGGUUUUGAUAGAUGAUCAUCGAUUAGAUGCAUUUCAAAAGGGUUGUGAAGAAUUUUUGGAUUUUGCUUUUAAUAAGGCUGCGAUUGAUAAUAAAAUACGAUGUCCAUGUCGAGAUUGUGAGU